UUUAGACUAAAAUGCAGUGGUACAGUAUUCUAGUCAACUUGUCUAACUUUGAGGGCGGGGCUAAAAAUCCGCCAAAGGGCAUAUCGAUGAAGUUCCUGGUUUUGGCUUGCGACGCCCAGUCGUGGGUUAUUUCUGGGAGUAAGGAGAUGGGGGCGAUCUGCAAAGGCAUGCAGGCGAUGACCCUCGCUCCGUGGAGGCCAGAUUUCUAAAUGAUGGUGAAACCUACGUAUAUACAGGUACGUAAUGUAGCCUGCCUUGAGUGGGAUUGGCAGAUGAAUAGAUCAGGUUCUAUAAUAUCAGGCGCCGAUAUUUAGGAUUAUCGCUAUUUGAAAUCAAUUCUGCAAAAGAGGCUAAGAGUUAGAGAAGUUGUUGAGGAAAACUCCUAGACUGUUCUUUUGAGAUAUGUUAGGGAUUACAGUACGGACUAAGUGGCAAUCUAGUCCUGCCUAUGGUGACAUGGCAGAGAUUGGUUUAAAGGGAAACCGCUGUUAUGGCGACAGGCAGUACUAAUCUGGGAAAACCAACUAGACCUAAGCCGUAAGAUUUACUUAACAUAUUACCCUGCAAUAAGCUGAUGGC
rnacentral:sRNA from 1 species